GUCUAAGUCACUGUGACUACUUUGACUACUGGGGCCAAGGAACCCAGGUCUCCGUCUCAUCAGCGACAAUAAUUGUUCCCCAUGUCUACCCAUUGAUCCAAUAUGGAAUCGGAGAGAGCCCCUCGGUUACCUUCGGCUGCUUGGUAGAUAAGUAUUUUCCGGAACCUGCUACUAUAUCAUGGAGUACAACUUCUGGGGGGACACCUACGGACGUGAAGACAUUCCCUUCAGUUCAGAUUGCAGACCCCAUCAGUUAUCAUCGUAGCAGUCAAGUGACUGUCAGCAAAAACGACUGGGAGAGCAACACUUACCUGUGCACAGUUAGUCAUAACAGCAGCAACUAUCAGACAGUCAUUCCAAAGGGUAACAGUUGUCAUGAUCCAUUAAGCGCAAAGCUUCUACAAGGUUCCUGUCCCGAAAACAGUGCAUCGGAUAAUGUAGAAUUGGUUUGCCAGAUAUCCAAUGUCAUUUCCAAUAAUUAUCAAGUCAAAUGGUUUAUCAAUGGUAAAGAAACAACUCUUGAAGAUAAAGUUAUUAAAGUUGGGCCAUCCAGCUACACCAGAACAGUCAAUGUCAAACAGGCGGUAUGGAACAGUGGUGUCUCAGUCAUGUGUCAAGUACAUGAUUCUGGGAACGUAGCUAAUGACACCAUAAGAAAAUGUUCAGACAGCCUUAAUUGUUUUGGAAUCAAUGUGUUCAUUAUGCGUCCAACUGUUGAGGAUCUUUUUGUCCAUAAAAUUGCUCGUAUUACCUGUCUGGCAUCCAAUAUUCCAAGUAGUACUGGCUAUCAGUUUAGCUGGUUCCAGGGUGAAGAGCAAAGCUCAAACUAUUCUACAGAAGACUCAAUCCUAAACAAGAAUGGAACCUAUAGUGCAUCCAGUGUUCUCACGACAUCCCCCGACGCUUGGCACUCUAAAACAAAAUAUACCUGCACAUUCACCUACGGUACGCUUCAGUCAUCUCCAGUCAUCAAAACCAUAUCCAAGGAUUUAGAAACCAAGUUGUUCCCACCAAGUGUUGCUGUCUUCCCACCUACACCCGAGGAGAUAAGCUUAAAAGAAGGUGUCACUUUCACAUGUAUGGUCUCGGAUUUCUAUCCAAUGGAUGUUCACAUGGGAUGGAGCAAAAACGACAUUGAGAUUCCCAAAGGAUCGUAUGACACCAGUGACCCAAAGGCUGAUAAUAACCAGAGAUACUUCGCUGUCAGCAAGAUGACUGUGCCAUCUACUGAAUGGGAUAAUGAUGACAUGUACAGCUGUGUGGUUGGUCACGAAGCUCUCCCAAUGCAUUUUACAAAAAGAUCCAUUGACAAAAACACCGGUAAACCAACCAAUGUCAAUGUGAAUGUCUACAUGUCUGAUUCCCAACUCUCUUGUCCCUAAGAAUUUCUGUCAAACAACCUUCUACUGCCCCCUGCCUGCUGACGACAUUUUGUUUUGUUUCAGUCCCUUGCCACAAUGAAUUCACUUAUUUCUUGUGUGAAAAUUGGAAGCAAACCUUACAACAGACCAAAUAGCAUUUACUAAAAAAAAUAAAAUACAAUAUCACAUUUCUUUGUGAUGCUCAUUGUCCUUUUCCUUCUCUAAUUGCUGCUGAUUUUUUCUGCUUCCUAUCCCUUCCAUUGUUGUGUUUUUUGAUCUUGUGAUGUUGGUGUGUACAAAUUAUAAAUGCUGCAAUAAAUUCUGGUAAGAAAA